GAAUGGCGCCUUUUAGCGAAGA
rnacentral:miRNA from 1 species